GCCAAUUCUUUAUAUCUGAGGACUUUAGCUUGGUGUACCAUUCCAAGGAACCUCCGGACAGGCUGUCCUGGAAGAAGUACAUCCACAGCUUUUGAUCCAUUGUAUAUGCAGAAAUCUUGCGGACAAAUGCCUGUAGAUGAGUCUCAGGACAGGAACUCCCAUUAUAUCUGUCAAAAGCGGGCGCUUUGAACUUUUGCGGGAUCACAAUCCCCUCCACCAGUCCCAUAUUUGACAUAUUGAC
rnacentral:lncRNA from 1 species